rnacentral:rRNA from 1 species
CCUACGGGUGGCAGCAGUGAGGAAUAUUGGUCAAUGGGCGGAAGCCUGAACCAGCCAAGUAGCGUGCAGGAUGACGGCCCUACGGGUUGUAAACUGCUUUUAUACGGGAAUAACGCGCCUUACGUGUAGGGCUGUGCAUGUACCGUAUGAAUAAGGACCGGCUAAUUCCGUGCCAGCAGCCGCGGUAAUACGGAAGGUCCGGGCGUUAUCCGGAUUUAUUGGGUUUAAAGGGAGCGUAGGCCGCAUGUCAAGCGUGCUGUGAAAUGUGCGGGCUCAACCCGGGCCUUGCAGCGCAAACUGGCGUGCUUGAGUGCGCGAAAGGCAGGCGGAAUUCGUCGUGUAGCGGUGAAAUGCUUAGAUAUGACGAAGAACCCCGAUUGCGAAGGCAGCCUGCUGCCGCGGAACUGACGCUGAUGCUCGAAAGCGCGGGUAUCGAACAGGAUUAGAUACCCGUGUAGUC